UGGCCGCGGUAAUUUGACCGUGCAAAGGUAGCAUAAUUAUUAGUCUUUUAAUUGAAGGCUUGAAUGAAUGAUUGGAUGAAAAAUUUACUUUAUUAAUUUAAAUUAUUUAAUUUAUGAUCUAAGUAAAAAUGCUUAGAUAAAUGAAUGGGACGAGAAGACCCUAUAGAGUUUUAUUUUUUUUUUUUAUUAUAAAAUUCUAGAAUUAAUAUUUUUAUAGUAAUAAAAAAUUUUUGAUUGGGGUGAUCUUAAAAAAUAUUAAACUUUUAAUUAAUAUUUCAUUAAUCUAUGUUGAAUUGAUCCAAAAAUUUUUGAUUACAUGAUUAAAUUACCUUAGGGAUAACAGCGUUAUUAAUUUGAAGAGUUCAAAUCGAUAAAUUAGUUUGCGACCUCGAUGUUGGAUUAAGAAAAAAUUUUGAAGUAGUAUUUAAAAUAAUGGGUCUGUUCGACCUUUAAAUUCUUACGUGAUCUGAGGUUCACACCGGA
rnacentral:rRNA from 1 species